GAGCAGCAGAGCUCAGGAAUGCCCGUAACAGUCAUGAGAGAGAAGAGAGUGACCAGCAGACUGGAGUGCGAACGAAGCUCCAGGUCAGCUGAAAUCAGUGUCUGGCUUGAGCAUUAUUUUCUGCAAAAAUCUGGUUCUAUUUCCACAAGAGAACCACAAGAUGGCUCUGUUCUCUUCUAUCAAUUUAUUAACCCCUGAGCCUUCCUACAAAAGCCAGACGCUCACUCUGUUCCGGGCUCUGCAUUGGAACACAGACGCCCAGAGGCCCGUCUACCACAGAGUCGCCCUACGUUCACGGCUCGAGGGCAUAGGCCUCCUAUCAGCGUCCCGAACCAGCCGAGUCCAGGACUUGGAGCGCCUGGUCCCGUUACCCCUUUAAUCCCCCUGACCCUUCACCUGAUCCCGCUCCAGUUUUUAACUUUGUCAUGUCUGUCUUGGAUUGGAUCACCCGACUCUGGACUUUAGCCUGCACUACAUUUCCCUUCGGACUCCCCUUGGACUGUUUGCCUGGACCAUGUCCCCCCCCGAGCACCUGCACACCUUGGAUAUGCCCCCCUGUUUGUCUACCAGCCCAGCCCAGUUCCUCGUCUUCUCCCCUUCCAGAUUCUGCUGUCUGCGUAGGGUCCUGAAAGACGCUUCGUAACAGUAUUUAACCAAGAGAUCCAAAUAAUUUGGCCAGUGUAUUUUCUCUAUUUCCUUCCAGUAUGCUUGAGGUCAGGAUGUAUCUUUUGGUGGCAUGUGAAUGAAAAAGAAAACUCUGGGUUUCUUUUUCCAUUUGGAGAAAACUUCGAGAUGGUCUUGAAUCACCAAACAAGUAAUGUGUUGAUAGCUAUUUUCAUUAGUUUUUUUUGUAAAUCUGAUUAAGUACAGCUACCUCUUUGUAUUGAACCUAUCAUACUGUAGCUAUUGAUUAAAGUCUAAUGCCUUUUUAACUAUCAGGAGGUCUUUCAAUUGCACAUUUCUAGAUACUGUAGUCAUCUUUUGUCCUUUCAACAGACAUUGAUAAAAGCAAAAGCAUUUGGAAUUAUUUUACAAUAGCUAGCCCUCCUAAUCUCUUUCUCAGUUUGCCUUUAAGAUUUAGAGUAUGUCCUGGAGCUACUGGACUUCAAAACAUUAGAGAACCUAGUGCUAUUACCUAUUAAUGAGAUAGUAUGGAAGCACACAUGAAACAAAUAUUUCAUGUGGUAUCUCGUAAUUAUGAGAUUGGAAAUUGUCUCAUAAAGAUACGAAUGAUAAUGAUGAGUUUAUGGACAACCUGUAUUACAUUGUGCAAUAACAGCACCUGAGCUACCAGCAGCUCAGCUGGAACUUUAGGUUUAGUGUUCAUGACAAUGUCCAGCGCUACAGAAUGUGCAUGGACUUACUUUCGACUGGGGUUUAGUCAUAAUGAAACGUUGUAAUUUGUAUAUAAUGUGAACACAAUCAUUAUAACCAUGAGGGCGCUCACACCCUUAAACAAGACAUUUAAAAGUAUCGUUUAAACCUAUCCUUAUACAACUGAUUCCACUGCUUAAAACAGAAAGUCAACUAAUGACAAUAUAGGCAAUGUGAGACAAUUGUGCUAUCACGUGAUUAUCACAAACUAAUGGAUAAUCUACUAUCUUGUAAUUACAAGAUAGUUUACUAUCUCAUAAUAAUGAGAUAACACUCAAAGUAUUUUUUCCCAUUGAAGUAAGAGA